CGCUAGUAAUCGCAGAUCAGCAUGCUGCGGUGAAUACGUUCCCGGGCCUUGUACACACCGCCCGUCACACCAUGGGAGUCGGUAACACCCGAAGUCGGUAGCCUAACCGUAAGGAGGGCGCCGCCGAAGGUGGGAUUGAUGACUGGGGUGAAGUCGUAACAAGGUACC
rnacentral:rRNA from 1 species